GACGAACGCUGGCGGCGUGCUUAACACAUGCAAGUCGAACGGAAAGGCCCUGCUUUUGUGGGGUGCUCGAGUGGCGAACGGGUGAGUAACACGUGAGUAACCUGCCCUUUACUUUGGGAUAACUUCAGGAAACUGGGGCUAAUACCGGAUAGGAGCUCCUGCUGCAUGGUGGGGGUUGGAAAUCUUCGGCGGUUGGGUAUGGACUCGUGGCUUAGCAGCCUGAUGGUGGGGUAGUGGCUUACCAAGGAUUUGACGGGUAGCCGGGAUAGGGGGGUGACAUGCCACAUAGGGACUGAGUGACGGCCCAGAGUCGUAGGGUAGGCAGCGGUGGGGGUUUAUGCAGGAUGGGCGGAAUCCUUAUGCAGAAACGCCGGUUGCGGGGAGAAGGCGUUCGGGUUUUAAUCCACUUUCACCUGUGAGUAAGCAUGUGUGACGUUAAUGGGUAAAGGAGCACCGGCUAACUACGUG
rnacentral:rRNA from 1 species